UGCGAAUAGGUGGAGUCUCGCUUAGAGCG
rnacentral:piRNA from 1 species